rnacentral:rRNA from 1 species
ACCUAGCCACAACACACAAUUAAAGUACCAAUUGUUCGCCAAACAACUACGAGUAGUAACUUAAAACUUAAAAGACUUGACGGUGCUUCAUCACAACCUAGAGGAGCCUGUCCAAUAACCGAUAACCCACGAUUAACCCCACCCCCUCUCGCCAACAGUCUAUAUACCACCGUCGCAAGCUUACCCUGUAAAAGAAACAAAGUAGGCUAAAAAGUUCUACACUAAAACGACAGGUCGAGGUGUAACUUAUGAGGGGGCAAAGAUGGGCUACACUCUCUUAUCAGAGAACACGAACAACACUACGAACACAGUGAUCGAAGGAGGAUUUAGCAGUAAGAUAAG